AGAGUUUGAUCCUGGCUCAGGAUGAACGCUAGCUACAGGCUUAACACAUGCAAGUCGAGGGGAAACGAUAUUGGAAGCUUGCUUCCGAUAGGCGUCGACCGGCGCACGGGUGAGUAACGCGUAUCCAACCUGCCCACCACUUGGGGAUAACCUUGCGAAAGUAAGACUAAUACCCAAUGAUAUCUCUAGAAGACAUCUGAAAGAGAUUAAAGAUUUAUCGGUGAUGGAUGGGGAUGCGUCUGAUUAGCUUGUUGGCGGGGUAACGGGCCCACCCAAGGCGACGAUCAGUAGGGGUUCGUGAGAGGAAGGUCCCCCACAUUGGAACUGAGACACGGUCCAAACUCCUACGGGAGGCAGCA
rnacentral:rRNA from 1 species